CCUACGGGAGGCAGCAGUGGGGAAUAUUGGACAAUGGGGGAAACCCUGAUCCAGCAAUACCAUGUGUGUGAAGAAGGCUCUAGGGUCGUAAAGCACUUUAGUCAGGGAGGAAGGCCUUGUCGUUAAUAGCGGCAGGGAUUGACGUUACCUGAAGAAUAAGCACCGGCUAACUCCGUGCCAGCAGCCGCGGUAAUA
rnacentral:rRNA from 1 species